rnacentral:lncRNA from 1 species
AUUCAACACUUGCUUCUUGUGCAAGAUUGCACUUUGCUUUUCUUUGCAUGUUCUAACUAGCAAAAGCUUUCUCUCCUUUGUUUUUGUCGAAAAGAAGGGAAGAGUACAAGCUAGCCAGCAUUUGCCUUGAGCUAGCAAUCUUUCUCCCCCUAUGUCAUUGCCGAAAAGAAGGAGAGGAACCAAUGAUUUAGACUUUUACAUAAAUUAUGAAUUUGCAUCAAUCAAUAUUUCAAUCAUCACAUG